UGACCAAGGAAAAUGCAGUAAAUUUGAUGGUGAGAGUAGGUCCAUUAUUAUAUACGAUGCAUCCACUGUUGAAGAAUUGAAAAAGAACAUAGAAGCGAAGCUUCUUACCCAUUCACCCUUGCUUUCUUCGUGCUGCAUCUUCAGAGUUCCCGAGGUGAUUCGGAGGCAAAAGGAACAGGCCUAUGAACCUAACAUUGUCUCCAUCGGACCUUUCCACCACGGCAAUAAAAAAUUCCAACUCUUUGAAGGUGUGAAACGUUGGUAUUUACAAUGCCUUCUGUCCUCAUGCAAGGAUGUGAGUUUGGAGAGCUUGAUCAAAGUCAUCAUGGAGUUGGCUAAAAGCGCCCGCGACUGUUACGUAGCAGACCCGUUGGAUGGUGAUCUCGAUCAAAAAUACUUUGUAGAAAUGAUGAUACUUGACGGUUGCUUCCUGUUAGAACUAUUUCGGAAGGCACUUCUCUAUGAGCCACAAAAUGAAAACGACCCCAUUUUCAGCGCGUCCUGCAUGCGGACAUAUUUGUGCCAUGACCUUCUGCUGCUAGAAAAUCAGCUACCUUGGUCUGUGCUGGAGUGUUUGUACAACCUGACUGCCAAUAGCCUCAGCCAAAGAGGCGCCUCCCUCACUUCACUUGUGCUCAACUUUUUCAGGCAAUCCGUUGUGGAUAACUUGAUGUUGAACCCCAGCUUCGAGCUCCCAUGUCAGAUUUUGCACAUACUUGAUCUGAUAAGAGCCGUGAUCGUUUCUGGAUUCAAGGAGACGGCGAGUGUGGAAGAGCAGCAUAAAAAGAAGGGGCUAAAUUUGACUCAACGGAUCCCAAAUGCGACAUCUCUUUCAGAGGCAGGCGUUCGGUUCGAAAAAAGCCAAAACAAGGAAGAGGGAAAGGGAGAGUGCAUAAUGAACAUGGAGUUCAAAAAUGGGGUUUUUACAAUUCCACCGUUGGGAAUUGAUGAGAGGACAGAGCCUCUGUUCAGAAACCUUAUCGCCUUUGAACAAUGCCACCACAGUCGCCUGCACAAGAUAACAUCCUACGCAGUUUUGAUGGAUAACCUCAUCGACUCCAGAGAGGAUAUAGAUUUUCUUUGUGACAAAGGAAUAUUGGCCAAUUGGUUGAACCCAGACGAUUCUGCCCAAUUCUUCAACAAGCUUUACGAUGACACCAUUGUCAUGAGGUAUUACUACAGUGGUCUCUCCGACGAUGUGAAUAAAUAUUACAAGACUAAAUGGCACAAGUUUAUGGAAACAUUGAGGCGUGACUAUUUUUCAACCCCAUGGACAAUCAUCUCUUUCAUCGCGGCCUUUAUCCUCCUGAUCCUCACCCUAGUGCAGACGUUAUAUACUAUUCGGUGGCCUUAAUUAAUUUUUUGCUCAAUUUCCUUCAGUACUAUUUACCAAACCUAUAUGUAAUAAUCUGUUUUUGUGUGUGAGCUUUAGAAACUUGUGAACAGCAGUUGCUGGUAGCCUACUUAAUAUUUGUGUGUUCUGUUCUAUUCUAUUCUAAUCAAGGUAAAAACCCACUUAUUUUCUAGUAAAGAAACCUUGCUAUUAUCUUGCC
rnacentral:lncRNA from 1 species